rnacentral:rRNA from 1 species
CCUACGGGAGGCAGCAGUGAGGAAUAUUGGUCAAUGGUCGUAAGCCUGAACCAGCCAAGUAGCGUGCAGGAUGACGGCCCUAUGGGUUGUAAACUGCUUUUACGCGGGGAUAACAUGCGUCACGUGUGAAGUUUUGUAGGUACCGUAUGAAUAAGGGCCGGCUAAUUCCGUGCCAGCAGCCGCGGUAAUACGGAAGGUCCGGGCGUUAUCCGGAUUUACUGGGCGUAAAGGGAGCGUAGGCGGCAUGUUAAGCGUACCGUGAAAUGCCGUGGCUCAACCUGGGCACUGCGUCGCAAACUGGCUGGCUUGAGUGCGCGGAAGGAAUGCGGAAUUCGUGGUGUAGCGGUGAAAUGCUUAGAUAGCACGAGGAACUCCGAUUGCGAAGGCAGCAUGCUGGAGCGCUACUGACGCUGAGGCUCGAAGGCGCGGGUAUCGAACAGGAUUAGAUACCCGAGUAGUC